rnacentral:rRNA from 1 species
CAGUAGCCACGGUAAUACGUAGGUGGCAAGCGUUGUCCGGAAUUAUUGGGCGUAAAGCGCGCGCAGGUGGUUUAAUAAGUCUGAUGUGAAAGCCCACGGCUCAACCGUGGAGGGUCAUUGGAAUCUGUUAAACUUGAGUGCAGGAGAGAAAAGUGGAAUUCCUAGUGUAGUGGUGAAAUGCGUAGAGAUUAGGAGGAACACCAGUGGCGAAGGCGGCUUUCUGGACUGCAACUGACACUGAGGUACGAAAGCGUGGGGAGCAAACAGGAUUAGAUACCCGGGUAGUCCCUGUCUCUUAUAC